UUAGCAAAUCUCUUAAAGCCGUUCUCAGUUCGGAUUGUAGGCUGCAACUCGCCUACAUGAAGUCGGAAUCGCUAGUAAUCGCGGAUCAGCAUGCCGCGGUGAAUACGUUCCCGGGCCUUGUACACACCGCCCGUCACACCAUGAGAGUUUGUAACGCCCAAAGCCGGUGGGGUAACCUUUUGGAGCCAGCCGUCUAAGGUGGGACAGAUGAUUGGGGUGAAGUCGUAACAAGGUACC
rnacentral:rRNA from 1 species